CAGCGCCUGAAACAACGCCUGAAAUAUUACCUCUACCACCAUCUGUUCACACAGAGGAGGAAUCAAAGUCAUUGUCAGGAGCCAUUGAUUCUGAUCAGAGACCCACGGAAGAGAAUGAAAGGGAUGAAAGUGGCGAAGAAUCUGGAGAAAUGCCAGAAAAUGCUAAGGAAAAAGAUGAAGUUAAUGAGGAAAAUAAAAACUUGUCAAAAACCUUAACUCCAAGCGAGG